UUUUUUUCCACAUCUUCAAAGCCUCAGCCACAGAACUGCCCUUGGCUGCACCCUGAAGAUCAGACCUCAGUACAGACAACAGACAGGCUACAACGAGAAGGCCUUCAGACUCUUCAGCCAGGCCCAAGCAAGCUCUAAACGUGGGCUAUGGUUUGGGUGAGCGGGGUCUGGAUGAGUUUCUUGUGGUACCCAUGUCAAACGUCCUGUUUUCCCCUCAGUUCAAAUUCCAGCAGCACUGCUCUGUUUUAAACAAAGUGGAAAUCCUCCACAUCAAUAGAAGCAGGAUGCAAAGGAGAGGGGAAGCUCUUGGAGUGCAAAACCAGACGUUUUUGCAGUGGAUCUCAGAUGAGCAGAAGAAAACAUAAGUAUACAGAUUGGUUGAUUAGAAGAGCUUGAUAAAACGGGCAUCUGAAUGUGGGAAAGUGGUGAAAGCAAAUUCAUGUGAAAAUAGCAAGUCAAAGUUUGGAAGAAUCUUAUAAGACUUAGAGGCAUACUUCACCUUCUGACACACAGCAGCCAUGUUCUGCCCAGCCAACCUCCAUGGAGCCAUGGGAUGACCAAGACAUGCCAACAGGCUGGGGCAGCAUCUGGAUGACUCAAGGGCAUGGUCCACAUCCUUAGGAGUUCCUAGUCAGGACAGAGGGAGAGGAAAAGGGAGAUGAAGUGCAUCAAAGUCUAAUAUGUUCACUGAACACUGAUGUUUCAUGCAUAUUUUAUUAUUCCCACUUUGUAGGAUUCUCACAGGAUUUCCUGGAAGAAAAUAUGCAGCAGACGAAUAUCCUGGGCUUGUCAGACUGCUGCAAAUGUGCUAUAGGGAUGGGCUGUGUGCACAAGAAACAAAGUGCUUGGGGCAGGAUGAAAUCCCAGGCAAAUGGCUGAUGUCCCAAACUCACACAGCCACGAUCUGCACUCAGAGGCACAAGGACUGGCUGAGCAUGGGUAGACACGAACUUUCUCCAUUUCCAUGCUGCAUUUGAAGAAGGACUUUUAGAGAAGCAUGGAGGGGUGUUUGUUCCCAGAGCCAGGUUUGCUAAGGAGCCAUUCAUGAAGCCAUACAUGAAGUUAUUUUGCUCCUCAGCCAAGCAGCUUUCAGGGGGGCCCAAAGGGCUGAGAUCUGACAGGACCACAGAUGAAUUUUGCUCUCGGUGAAGAAGAUACAAGGCAGAAGCUGAGCACUUUCAAGCGAGUGAUCUACUUCCAGCUCUUCCAGCCACAUCGACGAGGACAGGGAAAGGAUAACUCUCAGUUCUGGCUCAUUACAGGCUUGAUGGUAUCUCACUUUGUUUUCCUGCGGAGUUGGAUCUGUGCUGUUCUCCAACGUGGGUGACACAACCUCAACCAUGGGCAGAGCCAGCAAGGAUUAAUCAGGUCAAUGGAUGAACAAAAAAUCACAUCUGUGGAGAGAAGCUCAGUCCUAAAAAGCUGCUUCAGGCCUUCCAUAAUAUCUUCUUUCCGGGUUAAAAUCAACCUCCGUUU
ensembl:lncRNA